rnacentral:sRNA from 1 species
CCCUAGCCCUGAUGGGAGCGGCAUCCUUUUGUGUCCGCCGCGGCGGACACAAAAGAUACAGUGGACAGCAAGAAUCAGC